rnacentral:rRNA from 1 species
GACGAACGCUGGCGGCGUGCUUAACACAUGCAAGUCGAACGGAAAAGCCUGCAGCUUGCUGCGGGUACUCGAGUGGCGAACGGGUGAGUAACACGUGGGUGAUCUGCCUUGCACUUCGGGAUAAGCUUGGGAAACUGGGUCUAAUACCGGAUAGGACAGCUGUUUAGUGUCAGUUGUGGAAAGUUUUUUCGGUGCAAGAUGAGCUCGCGGCAUAUCAGCUUGUUGGUGGGGUAAUGGCCUACCAAGGCGUCGACGGGUAGCCGGCCUGAGAGGGUGUACGGCCACAUUGGGACUGAGAUACGGCCCAGACUCCUACGGGAGGCAGCAGUGGGGAAUAUUGCACAAUGGGCGGAAGCCUGAUGCAGCGACGCCGCGUGGGGGAUGAAGGCCUUCGGGUUGUAAACUCCUUUCGACAGGGACGAAGCUUUUGUGACGGUACCUGUAGAAGAAGCACCGGCUAACUACGUG